AUGAUCGCCAAGUUUGGUAAUAUCUUAAACUGUCAGAUUGAACAACUUCCCAUAAGGUAUUUGGGUCUAUCGCUUAGUCUGAAACGAUUGCGCAAAGAGGACUUUCAGUACUUGAUUGACAAGAUCAGAGACAAAUUAGGGACAUGGCGAACCGGCUUGUUUCAGAGUGGUCGUUUGAUAUUGGUUCAGGCCGUGCUUUCGGCUAUACCAAUUUUUCAUCUCAUGUCGUUGGAUCCACCUCCGUGGGUGUUCAAGGCCAUUGAUACAAUUAGGAGAGCUUUCCUUUCGAAGGGUACUGAAGUUGUGAAUGGUGGCCAUUGUUUAGUGAGUUGGAAAUAUGUUUGCAGACCGAAGGGGUGUGGUGGCUUGGGCAUACUGGACACUCAGAUUAUUAAUUCUGCUCUCAAGUUACGUUAG
rnacentral:rRNA from 1 species